UCCAGAGAACUUAGCAGAGAUGCUUUGGUGGCCUUCGGGAACUCUGAGACAGGUGCUGCAUGGCUGUCGUCAGCUCGUGUUGUGAAAUGUUGGUUAAGUCCGCAACGAGCGCAACCCUUAUCCUUUGUUGCCAGCGGUUCGGCCGGGAACUCAAAGGAGACUGCCGGUGAUAAACCGGAGGAAGGUGGGGAUGACGUCAAGUCAUCAUGGCCCUUACGGCCAGGGCUACACACGUGCUACAACGGCGCAUACAAAGAGAAGCGACCUCGCGAGAGCAAGCGGACCUCAUAAAGUGCGUCGUAGUCCGGAUUGGAGUCUGCAACUCGACUCCAUGAAGUCGGAAUCGCUAGUAAUCGUAGAUCAGAAUGCUACGGUGAAUACGUUCCCGGGCCUUGUACACACCGCCCGUCACACCAUGGGAGUGGGUUGCAAAAGAGGUAGGUAGCUUAACCUUCGGGAGGGCGCUUACCACUUUGUGAUUCAUGACUGGGGUGAAGUCGUAACAAGGUAAGCGUAGCGAG
rnacentral:rRNA from 1 species